GUGUUUGCUUCAGCAGCACAUAUACUAAAACUGGAGUGGUACAGAGAAGAUGAGCAUGGCCCCUGUGCAAGGAUGACAUACACGCAAUUUCAUGAAGCAUCCCAUAUUUUU